rnacentral:misc_RNA from 1 species
AGAAGCUUUCUCAGAUGCCUUCGAACGGACCGACAUUUAAUGAUGCCUUUCAGACUUAGAAUAGCGAGGGAAAAAUAGGUCUCCGUGUGACCUAAAAAUCGUGGGAGGAGUCUAGAGGCGAGUGGUCAAUUUGACGGCGACAUUUUGUGUAGACCGGGUCACAAUCAAGAACUGGCAAAAUGCGUGCGGUGCUGUGUGUUUGUUUAUGUUUGGACAUAGCGAUAUUUACAUGGGGAAAGGAACUGAAAGUUACCUCGAUACUGAGGCCUCCAUUUCUAAUGAAAACUGGGUCUCCCGGUCAGUAUGAGGGAUACACAGUGGACGUGCUGGACGCUCUCGCUGAAGCAAAUAAUUUUACUUAUUCAAUUACACCGGAACAAGCUAUAGGUUGUAGUGACGCAACACUAUGUUCUGAGUUGUCAUCAAGUAUGAAAAAAGUGCCACUGAAGGAUCUCCGCCAAAAAUGGUGGCCAAACAACUGUAAUUCAGAACCCCUGAGCGAGUUUUUGAAUAAACCGGAAGUUACGUUGUUGACGCCUGCGCGUCCAUUGAAUACUAUUGACUUGUCCAUAGCGUUCAUUUUACUUCUACUUGGUAUUAUCGUUGGAGUUAUCAUGUUACUGGUUGAAGUUUAUCUUGCAAGAAAAAAAGCUAAGAAAGAAGGGCCGAUCAAACUGAAAACUACAAAUGGCGACAAUGCAUUGACAGAAGGAACAGAGGAGGAGAAAGCGCCAAUUGCUGAGGAGUGUUGAAAAAACUCAUUAACUUCCCGCUAUCGCCAAUCACUUCCGGCUAAACAAUUUUUAGCCAAUUCGGUGAGAGUGCUGAUUUCAAAAGAAACAAAAACACAUCUGUGUUGAAUGUCGUAAACUGUAAACAAAUCCACGGCGAGAAACAUUUGUACAUAUAUAUAUAUGAAUAUUUAAGAACACAAUGUGUUAAAGUAAUUCCAUUAGAUUGAUAGUGCGUAAAAAUCAUGUUCGAAAUUACAGUGUACAUCUACUUUCCUUUGACGAUAUCAAAUUUAUGGGGGGUUUUUAUUCAAUGAAAUGAAAUUUCAAUCGUUGAAUCAUAUUCAUGUUUCAAACAUGGGUUGUCACUUUCAUCAUAGAUCAACUAUUUGUAACUGAAAACAGUUGUGUUUUCAAUUUUAUCUAUUUUCAUAACCAUUCGUGCAUUAGCAGACGACAACAUGAGACAGAAAUGCGUCACUUGGAUAUUUAAUAUUACUUGACAUUUCCUCCAAGGUUGUUGCUAUCUUUGUGGGCUGCAUCAGUAUAACUGAGUACCUGAUGAUUGAGAUUACGCAGACUUUGCUCAAAGCAUUUCAAUACAACGAGACUGAUUAAAACGUUUUGAUUU